GACGAACGCUGGCGGCGUGCUUAACACAUGCAAGUCGAACGCGUGUGCUCCUUCGGGGGUGCAUGAGUGGCGAACGGGUGAGUAACACGUGAGCAACCUGCCCUUGACUUCGGAGUACCAGCUGGAAACAGCUGCUAAUACCGGAUAUGACACUUGCCCUCCUGGGUGGGUGUGGAAAGCUCCGGCGGUCAGGGAUGGGCUCGCGGCCUAUCAGCUUGUUGGUGAGGUAAUGGCUCACCAAGGCUUCGACGGGUAGCCGGCCUGAGAGGGCGACCGGCCACACUGGGACUGAGAUACGGCCCAGACUCCUACGGGAGGCAG
rnacentral:rRNA from 1 species